rnacentral:lncRNA from 1 species
UGCCCUGCCCUCCCCAGCCCAGCCCUUUCUCCCCCUGUCUCUCCCUUCCCUUCCCUCACUCUGCAUUGCAUUGCAGGACCCCUUUCUUUGCCUUCCUCCCUGCCUUCCCUCUUUCCACUUCUUCCCCACUCUAGCAGAUUCAUUAUCAUCACCAUCAGCAUCGUCGUCAUCAUCGCAGCAGCAUUCGCACCACCACCAGCCAGCAGCACCUCCAGCUCCGCAUCGCUCCCCCUCCACACCACUCUCCUCGCUCUCCAUCGCCUCCUCCUCCCCUUCGUUUCCGUCUUCCCCAAUCUCAACAGCUGCGCUGCGCGUUGCCGAUUGUUGGCGCCUGCGCCGCAGAGCGAGAGUGAGUGUGUGGGGUUGGCAUCGAGCCAUCCCUGUGCGGGGCAUGGUAGAUGGAAUUCUUCGCGCCAGCCAAAGGGGCGCCUUCCUCCUUUGCAGCAGGCCUUGAGGCACCCUCCGCCUCUGACAUCGCGCCCGGCUCCGGUCUUCAGCUCUACGACGAUUGGGGCGGGCACUCUCAGCAUGCUGGCGGGGCGCAGCGUUCGCCUCCCGAGGGCGGCAGCGGCAACACCAUCAGCAUCGGCUUGCUAGACGCGGUCGGGGCGUCACCUUCUUCUGGAGGUAGUAACGAUGAGCGAUUUGGUCCGAUUUGGGGCGUGGGAUGGUAGGAUGGGAAGUAGAGAGGUCACAGCCCGAGUUGAGCUGGUCAGAGGGGUUUCACAGUGGGUGUUGGGUGUGAAAUUGGCGCUGUGGUACGAUCUGGGUGGUGUGGUGUGGUCGUGAGGUGUGCGAUUGGAUCGGCAGUGGCCAAUUGCCAUCGGGAGGGAUGUCGAUUGUGCAUGUGGGGGGUCGGUAUAUGUUUGUCGGAUGUGGGGGAACUUAGGAUUCGGACCGGGUGGCGUGCGAUGAAUGUUGGUCUGGUUGAUUGUGGAAAUUGUGCGGCGGGGAGGAGUGUUGAGUGGCGAUUACGGAACGUGGAGGGGUUGGAUCUUGUGGGGUGGUGAAGUGGGUGUUUGGGUGCGGGAACUACAGCUCCGAGUUUCAGAUGCGGUCGUUGUGACACGUCGAUAGGGGGGGGGGUUGCAAUUGGAUCGACAGUCCCCUCGUCGCUGCCGGCCCACGACUCGGUAGGGGCCGAUGCUUGGUAGAGUGCCGCGGUCGAUCCGAUUGCGUGACGCGAGGGUGUAGAGCGCCCCUGGGCAAUGCGGGGUUGACUGUGGGUGUCCGUGUUGGGUGAGCCCGGGAGCAGGGUAGCUGAUGGCGCGAUGGCUAUGGCGAGGUGUUGGGAGCAGGUCGUUGGAUUUGU